ACACACACACACACACACACACACACACAGGACAGGCAGACACACACAUACACACACACAGGACAGGCAGACACACACACACACACAGGACAGGACAGGCAGACACACACACACAGGACAGGCAGACACACACAGGACAGGCAGACACACACACACAGGACAGGCAGACACACACACACAGGACAGGCAGACACACACACAGGACAGGCAGACACACACACACAGGACAGGCAGACACACACACACACACACAGGACAGGCAGACACACACACACACAGGACAGGCAGACAGGCAUGCCUAACUAGGUGAGAGAAGACCAGGGCAGAUUUUAAGAAGAGGUGACUGGAGGACAGAGACAGAAGGUGUCAUUGUCUCAUCACCACCUCAGGUAACACAAUAAGCCUUUUCUAGCCGUGUGUGUGUCUUAGUGUUAGCGUGUGUGUGUGUGUAUCUUAGUGUUAGCGUGUGUGUGUGUGUGUCAGUGUGUGUGUGUCUUAGUGUCAGCGUGUGUGUGUGUGUCUUAGUGUCAGCGUGUGUGUGUGUAUCUUAGUGUCAGUGUGUGUGAACUGGUGGGUGGAAAGGUGAGGGACUGAGGCAGUAAUCCUGUCACAGGAGACGUAACACCCAGUACACACACACACACACAUACACAUAACACCCUGUACACACACACACACACACACACACACACACACACACACACACACACACACACACACACACCACCCCAUUAGCUGACCAGCUCACAUAACCCUCACAUCUCUCAGUGCAGACCACCUGCGGUGUCAGAGGAAGGCCCUAAGAAUUGUCAGACUCCAGCAACCCUAGUCAUAGACUGUUUUCUCUGCUACCACACGGCAAGCGGUACACUGGAGUACCCAGUCUAGGUCCAAGAGGAGUACCCAGUCUAGGUCCAAGAGGAGUACCAAGUCUAGGUCCAAGAGGAGUACCCAGUCUAGGUCCAAGAGGAGUACCCAGUCUAGGUCCAAGAGGAGUACCAAGUCUAGGUCCAAGAGGAGUACCCAGUCUAGGUCCAAGAGGAGUACCCAGUCUAGGUCCAAGAGGAGUACCAAGUCUAGGUCCAAGAGGAGUACCAAGUCUAGGUCCAAGAGGAGUACCAAGUCUAGGUCCAAGAGGAGUACCCAGUCUAGGUCCAAGAGGAGUACCCAGUCUAGGUCCAAGAGGCGUACCCAGUCUAGGUCCAAGAGGAGUACCCAGUCUAGGUCCAAGAGGAGUACCCAGUCUAGGUCCAAGAGGAGUACCCAGUCUAGGUCCAAGAGGAGUACCCAGUCUAGGUCCAAGAGGAGUACCAAGUAUAGGUCCAAGAGGAGUACCCAGUCUAGGUCCAAGAGGAGUACCAAGUCUAGGUCCAAGAGGAGUACCAAGUCUAGGUCCAAGAGGAGUACCCAGUCUAGGUCCAAGAGGAGUACCCAGUCUAGGUCCAAGAGGAGUACCCAGUCUAGGUCCAAGAGGAGUACCCAGUCUAGGUCCAAGAGGCUUCUAAACAGCUUCUACCCCCAAGCCAGGAGACUCCUGAACAGCUGAUCAAAGGGCUACCCAGACCCCUCUAUUACACUGCUGCUACUCUGUUUAUUAUCUAUGCAUAGUCACUUUACCUCUAACUACAUGUACAUAUUACCUUUAAUUACCUCGACUAACCGGUGCCCCCGCACAUUGACU
ensembl:lncRNA